CCAGGCAUGUCACAAGGAGAACCCUGUACCCUACAAUAUGCCCCUCCACAUCACCCUGGAUGUGGCGGAUACAAUUAUUAAGAGAGAAGUUUUGUGAUGUAACCCUAGAGCAAUGAAAACAAAACAGCUCUGUGUGAUGAUAAAAGACAAGGCUGGAAAACCUUGAAGAUCCCUAGAAAGAAAAUGCAGUAUUUAGAAAACAUACAGAAGGCCAUGUACAAUCCAGUAAAUGAUAGUCAUCCGAAGACAGACAUCCCA